UGAUGACGAGACGCUAAGGCGUUGAAGCAGUGUAUGUCAGACUUCCAAGAAAAGCUCGCAAUGUCACAAAUAAAAAUGCCUGUACCAUAACCGACACAGGUGGGUAGGUAGAGUAUACUAAGGGGCGCGAGAUAACUCUCUCUAAGGAACUCGGCAAAAUGACUCCGUAACUUCGGGAGAAGGAGUGCCUUAUUUAUAAGGUUGCAAUAACAAGAUCCAAGCAACUGUUUAUCAAAAACACAGGUCUCCGCUAAGUCGUAAGACGAUGUAUGGGGGCUGACGCCUGCCCAGUGCCAGAAGGUUAAAGAAGUUGGUUAGUGUAUGCGAAGCUGAUGACUGAAGCCCUGGUGAACGGCGGCCGUAACAAUAACGGUCCUAAGGUAGCGAAAUUCCUUGUCGGGUAAGUUCCGACCCGCACGAAAGGCGUAAUGAUUUGGAUACUGUCUCGGAGAGAGGCUCGGUGAAAUAGACUUGUCUGUGAAGAUGCGGACUACCUGCACCAGGACAGAAAGACCCUAUGAAGCUUUACUGUAACUUGAAAUUGGAAUUGGACUUUGCUUGCGCAGUAUAGGUGGGAAGCGUUGAAAAUAUUCUUGCGGGAGUAUUGGAGCUAUCAGUGAGAUACCACUCUUGUAAUGUUAGAUUUCUAACUUUGAACCAUAAUCUGGUCAAAGAACAGUUUCAGGUGGGCAGUUUGACUGGGGCGGUCGCCUCCCAAAUGGUAACGGAGGCGUACAAAGGUUUCCUCUGAACGGAUAGAAAUCGUAUCUAGAGUGUAAAGGCAUAAGGAAGCUUGACUGUGAGACCUACAAGUCGAGCAGGGACGAAAGUCGGUCUUAGUGAUCUGACGGUACUGAGUGGAAAGGCCGUCACUCAACGGAUAAAAGUUACUCUAGGAUAACAGGCUGAUCUCCCCCAAGAGUUCACAUCGACGGGGAGGUUUGGCACCUCGAUGUCGGCUCAUCGCAUCCUGGGGCGGUAGUACGUCCCAAGGGUUGGGCUGUUCGCCCAUGAAAGCGGUACGCGAGCUGGGUUCAGAACGUCGUGAGACAGUUCGGUCCAUAUCCGGUGUAGGCGCUAGAAUAUUGAGAGGAGCCUUCUUUAGUACGAGAGGACCGAGAAGGACACACCGCUGGUGUACCAGUUAUCGUGCCAACGGUAAACGCUGGGUAGCUAUGUGUGGAGUGGAUAACCGCUGAAAGCAUCUAAGUGGGAAGCCCACCUCGAGAUGAGUAUUCAC
rnacentral:rRNA from 1 species